GACGAACGCUGGCGGCGUGCUUAACACAUGCAAGUCGAACGGAAAGGCCCUGCUUUUGUGGGGUGCUCAAGUGGCGAACGGGUGAGUAACACGUGAGUAACCUGCCCUUGACUUUGGGAUAACUUCAGGAAACUGGGGCUAAUACCGGAUAGGAGCUCCUGCUGCAUGGUGGGGGUUGGAAAGUUUCGGCGGUUGGGGAUGGACUCGCGGCUUAUCAGCUUGUUGGUGGGGUAGUGGCUUACCAAGGCUUUGACGGGUAGCCGGCCUGAGAGGGUGACCGGCCACAUUGGGACUGAGAUACGGCCCAGACUCCUACGGGAGGCAGCAGUGGGGAAUAUUGCACAAUGGGCGGAAGCCUGAUGCAGCAACGCCGCGUGCGGGAUGACAGCCUUCGGGUUGUAAACCGCUUUCGCCUGUGACGAAGCGUGAGUAACGGUAAUGGGUAAAGAAGCACCGGCUAACUACGUG
rnacentral:rRNA from 1 species